rnacentral:rRNA from 1 species
AGGACGAACGCUGGCGGCGUGCUUAACACAUGCAAGUCGAGCGGAAAGGCCCUUCGGGGUACUCGAGCGGCGAACGGGUGAGUAACACGUGAGUAAUCUGCCCCUAGCUCUGGGAUAGCUCCGGGAAACCGGGAUUAAUACCGGAUACGACCACCUUAGACAUCUUUUGUGGUGGAAAGAAUUUCGGCUAGGGAUGAGCUCGCGGCCUAUCAGCUUGUUGGUGGGGUAACGGCCUACCAAGGCGACGACGGGUAGCCGGCCCUGAGAGGGCGACCGGCCACACUGGGACUGAGACACGGCCCAGACUCCUACGGGAGGCAGCAGUGGGAAUAUUGCGCAAUGGGCGAAAGCCUGACGCAGCGACGCCGCGUGGGGGAUGAAGGCCUUCGGGUUGUAAACCCCUUUCAGCAGUGACGAAGCGAAAGUGACGGUACCUGCAGAAGAAGCGCCGGCUAACUACGCGCCAGCAGCCUC